CUACUCGUGUAGGAGGCUACCCAACGGACACCCCCCGUGGCACGAACUUGCCACGUGGAGCCCCUAAUAUUGGUUGUUCUACAUUAUCCCAGGUGAAUACUUCCCGCACCAAAUAAGAGAGCCCGUGCAUUAUGCUCGUGCGUUGGGCUGCGUACGUUUGUAGUGGGAACCCAACUAAGCAAAAUUUGAGGAUGGGACCGAUUCUUUCCCGGCCGCACUAAUAGUGGGAGUCAUUCCCUAGAGUUCAUUUCUAAGUUUCAUCUCGAUUGGCGGAUUUUCAUUAUUUCUUCACCAUACCAUGGCUUUUCAUUAAGGAUACGAUAAAACAAGCUGGAUGCGGUCUUCAAGAAAAGGAUUUGUGCCAAUGGGGAUGCUAAAAUUUUCCCGCCCAAUCACAACAAACAACCACUUAAUAUGGUCAACCACAACAAGCAUUGUCAAACAUGGUCUUCUUUGUUGAGCAUAGCUUCUCAACAUUGUUCUUUGACUGGGGAGAAAGUCUUCUGAAACAUAGCACCCCUGCUGAACCGGGACGUGAUGGAGCCUGAACCGCGUUGGGUUGGGCACUUCAAACAAAAUACUGCACACGCCGUCCGCAUAGAAAAACAAAAAGGAGCUUACUGGAUUGGUGGAAGAUGCCAGCCCAAGCUACCUCAGGUAUUGUCGUUCUAAGUAGUCGUGACCUGCCAACCAGUGGGACUUUUAGGACGUUAGCUUCUCUAUCUUGUGAACCCCAAUUAUUGAACGAUAUCGUGAGAAAGAAGGAAGGGCGUCCUGCCAUGCCAUCCCUGUCACAGUAAACUUCAUUCAAGGGUAAGAAGUGCGGCGAGCACAUGGUUUGGCAUGGUUCAAUCAUCCCACAAAAGAAUGUAAUAACUGAACUAAACCUUCAUUCAGAAACUUGCACAGCCCCAAAAACUAGUGAAACGAACCAAACCCAACCCAAGAUACUCAAAUCAGUUCAUUUUCAAUGCAAUUUUAACUUUUUUUAAAGCCACUUUUAGCCACAAAAGUAUAGUUCUAGAGGUCAUAUUUGGAGUUUGCAAGAUCACUAAACCAACAGCCCAACAGUCCAAUCAGCAGGGAGCUCUUCUGUCCCAAGCAAAUGCGCAGCCCCACGAUUAUAUUCUUCACUCAACUUACCCCCUAAUCCCUCUCACCCGCACCGCAGCCCACUCUCUCUCAGCCCCCAAAAGGUAGUAGUCCCCAAAACGGAAGUCUAUGCCACUGCAUUUUACAAGUGGGAUUGUUUGGGUCCCAAGUUGGUUCAGUUUUUAAUAUCCCAAUCUUGGACUGAACCUGAGGAAGUUGGUUCUCCAAUAUUAUGGGCUGAGAUCAACUGUGGGAGCAAAGAACCAAAAUUCACGGCUAAUGGGACAAACACUCCAUUAGCAGUAUCCAGUGAAUUGAUGAAAUCUUCAUUUUUCCAUAGGUUUUGUGUACUGAAAUUUCUUACCACAACAAAAUUUCAACCUAGGGUUGGAGGGUUGGUAGAAUAUGAAUCUCAGAACAAUUGAGCUGCAUGACAACAGUAAGUUUGACACUAGGUAUAAAUUGACUUCAGCCCCACCCACACACACAAAAAACAUCUAUAUAUGUUUUACCUAUCGUUAUAAAUGACGAUAAUCGAGUCGGUCAUUGUGGUCAACCUCUAUUAUGGAUCUAUGACCACAUUCUCCAUAGGGCUCAAAAUUAGGAUGUCAACGGGUUAGAAUGUUAGGUUAGCACACGAGAUGUUCGAUACUUUUCCUGGUUUCAUAAGCUCGAACCCCAAAGCAAACCCCCCAGGUAUCAUCAUCUACUUCGUGGAUUUACAGAUAUAGAGAGCAACCUUUUUAAGACAACAUCAAUACCACCUUUUUCUCUUUUGAAGUGGUUAAUAAUCGAUUAGAAGGUUCAUUAGAAAGGACUUCCGACCCUGAAACUUUGACUUGAAUUAAAGUGACUUUGGCAGUGGGCAGUGUCUCUCCCAGCUCGUUUGUCUAGGACGAGACUCGUCUGUCUUGGUGGGUUGAUUGAUUUCACGCCUUGUUCGUAACCAUAGAGGAUCACUAAUGUGUACUACGUUCUAAACUUACUAGGGGAUAAUAAGCUGGAUUUCUCAUAUCAUGAGCUCUCUCAUUGAAUAAUAAGAUAUUAUGAACUUUAUGCUGAUGAUGGCCCUUUCACCCCGCUACCCCUUCAGUGACACCCUCCCCGAGCAGAUCCCCACCCAGACCAGGACCCGUCCCCGGCGACUGUUCACCCCAUUCCACAGCUGGGUGGUCCAUAGUUUGGGUAUGCACAAGUUGGCUACAAGGCUCAUCCCAAGAUCAUGUCACGGACGCCACCAAAAACAUAUCCAAAUGGGGACGUUUAUGGAGAAGUGAUAGGCUAGGAGCGGUACACAUACCUGAGAAUGCAAGGUGUAGGAACCCCUUCAGAGCUUAUUUGAACAACAGAAGCGGGAUGUGUUCAGUUGGCUGAGAACAGUAUACUCUCCUUCAACAAUGGUUUAAGGUUUGCUGCUGGCUCGGCGUUCUUUUUUUCUUUGCCUUCGUGUUCCCCCGUGUCUUGUUGGGGUGCACCACGCUUUCUACCCUUCCAUCUUCUUUUUUCCAUUUCUUCCCUCCACUCCUUCUUCUCCCCUUUCUCUAAUAGAAGAGGGACUUAUGUGUCCGUUGGGCUCGGCCGCUGGGUCCGCGUGAUUUUAGAAUAAAAAGGAGUAUUCCCUUGAGGACAACGGAUUGGCAGUUAAAUAUAUUAUAUAUUGAAUGGAGUAGUCGAGCCGUAGCCACAACUCGAAAGUCUUUAACGGGGUCCAAGGGAAUGUUGAUCUAAAAUACUGCCACACAAGCCACAUCAAGUUAUCUGCAUAUCGAAAAAAAUAUUUUUUCUGUUUGCUGGUAAUUCUCUCAUUGCAGAAAGGGAAAAUCACCAAAAUACAGGUCAACAGGGGUCUUGAAAAAGUCCUGAUGAAUGAAACUUCUACCUAGCUUUGGCAAAUUAGAGAAACUCACUUUUGCCAUCACUAAGGGAAACAGAUCAAAACAAAUUGGUUUGUUUUGUAUUAUAUUGCACCAAGCUCUCUGUAUAAAGCCAUGUUAACCCUUGUAAAUUUCUUAAUUGAAUAUAAUAUAUCUGCAAGAAACCAAAUAAACAGUACCAGCAAAAAACCUAUGUCACGUGGACUCUUCUAAAAGCACAAAGUACCGGUCGGUGUCGGACACUUAACGCUUGUGUACACACACGAAAUCUGUCUCACAUUUUUAAUUGGGCAUUCACAUAGAAAGUGUACUUAGUAAUUAAUUCAGCCAUACAGUAGAUUAGAACUAAAGCUGCAACACACUCAAAUUACACAUACAAUGCUUUUCGACACUUUGUGAACAUCACUUACUGUAGAAAAUAAAAGAAAUGUAUCAAGGAAUAGAAAUCGUUUACCAUGUCCCCACAUCCUUGACAUAGGAAUAAACUUAGACAUGUAUCUUGUACCCGACCCCACCCCGACUUCUAUUUAACAUUGCUAAAAAACAAUAACCAACCAUAGAAAUUGAAGACAAACUACAUAAACCAACAACAAAAUAAAUAGGUGCAUUGAAAGCAACCACUGCUAAUUUUAUAAGCAGAUGCAUAGGGAACCCCUUACAAAAUAUUAAAAAUAUAGCACCCCGAACCAUACAAUAUCCAUGCAAUCAGUCUCAUACAUCAAACCACAUGAGAAAUGAACAAAGCCCCAAAUGAAUCUAGAAUUUUCCCCAAUUUAAAACUUUUAACAAAACACUAAUAUUCCUUAAAACAGAAAAAAACAAAAAAUAUCAUUAAAUACUUACUAAUAACAACUUAAUCAUAAAAAUAUGACAACUUCCUGAAGCAUACAUUUCAUGCAAACUCCAUAAAAAUCGGCAUAAUGAAGAAAUUAUUGAGUAUUGUCAACAAAUUUUGGAAGAUGAACGUAUAAAUGGCAUAAACAUAGAAAUCACCAAACGUAUAAAUUGAAUCUAAAAAUUAUCACAUAAAAAAAAUCGGAUUACUGAAAAAAACCUAGCCCGUGGUCUAUGGAUAAACCCAGGAUCUAAAGUUUUAUAAUAUUAAUCACAGAUAUCCGACUAUGGCAAUAUGGAACAAAUCCAAAUUAAAAAGAUGCAAAUCAAUCAACCAAGAAGAAACACCAAGAGUUUUACCGUGGCAACCCGUGAUGGGAGAAAAGAGAAAAAGAAAAACCACGUGGUCACUCUCCGGACCAAAGAUUCAUGCCACUAUAAUCCGAGAUCAGACGGUUACAAGACUCUUACAACCAAAACCUAUUCAAAUCCAUGAUCUAAUGAUUGUGUAGAUCUAGCUCGUAUCCACGAUUCACAUCUCCGUGCUUGAUCACCGUUUUCAGAUGCCCCCUUAGAACGGGAUUUCCCCACCUUGAACUCCUUAAGGAUUCGGUUAAACGUUCAAAUCCCCUUUAUUUCGACCGGAUUUCCACACCUUGAACUCCUUCAAGGAUUUUGAUUUUUCACUAUGAUUGAUGAAGAGAUCUGUAAGGAUUCGUUCUGAGCUCUUCGGAAGGUUAGGAGGGAGAAAAACACUUUGCUUUUGAGUAUAAAUGAAACGGCGGCUCUCCUUAGGUCUUAGAGAGAAAGUGUUCUCGAACCUGUUAUAUCAGUCCAAAAAACCUUAAAAAACAUAAUUUCCGGACGUUGCAGCGUCUUGGUUGUUCGCUCCACAAAGACCAGGAGGAGUUCUCUCGAGAGACUGUCGCUCCCGCGAGGAUCCCGUGAGGAACCCGUGACAAUUUUGCGAAGCUCUCAGAUCUCGUAUUUUGUCAUAAACUUUUUACUCCGAUAUCCGAUUGAGCGAGUUUUGAUGCGUUAUUUGGACAGGAAGACUUCAAGAUUACAAUUUGAUCUAAUAAGAAUUGGCUGAAUGAUCUCUAAAAUGGUCAAAAUCAAGUUUUAGUUUGACAUUGCAGUGUGAGGGUGAAAAUCUUUCGAAUCAUAAAGUCUUCUUAGCACGAGCUUUUGCAUAAAUAAUGCUGACAAACUUCCGAAUGCUUUCAAAUACGUUAUAAAAAUCUUCAAAUUACUUUUGCUUGAUUACUUAACUUCCCAACAUACAUUAAAGACAACGUUCACGAAAAAUCUCGCCAAUUAAACACACAACCUUACAAUUACCAAAGCAGAAUUGAGACAAUGACAGACACCAUGGAGUUCGUCGAGAGAGAGAGUGUGUGACCGAGUGAUAUAGAGAGAGAGAAAGAGAGAGAGAGACCGAGUGAGGGAGAGCUAGCGAGACAGAGAGAAAAUAUCAGAACGGGAAUGGAAUCUUCUAAAUUAUCACGCUAUAUACAUUUAAAAUCUAUUUAAGUUAAUUUAAUAGUUGAUAUUUUAUUUAAAAUUAUAAUUUUUUAAAAAAAUAUUAUUUUUUUUCUUCUCAAAAGUAUGUGAGUCACAUAAAUUAUGAUUUAAGGACCAAAAAAUUUCUAAAAUUGGACAUAACCAAAAAAAUUAAAAAACCCUUUUUUCCUCAUUCAUUUCUCUCAAACUAGCAAUAUUUUUUUUAAAUCAUUAUAAAUUACUAUUUUGUUUUUUAUUUAUUAAUAAGUAUUAAAUUAUUUUUUAAAAAAAAUAUCAUUUUUUUCUUUUCAAAAUGUGGGACUCACAUAAAUUGUGAUCCAAUGAUAAAAAAAUCUCUAAAGUUGGAUAUAUUUUUUACCCAUUAGAUAUUUUUUAGUAAGAUCCACACCUAAAAAAAAUUAAAACACCCUUUUUUCCUCUCAAAUUAGCAAUAUUUUUUUUAAAUCAUUAUAAUUUUUAUUUUUUUUAUUUUAUAAUAAUUUAUAUUUUCGUAUACAUGCAAUGUAUGUUUUAUCUGAUGUUUAUAUAUAUUAUAUAUUUUUUAAAUUGUAAAACUCUAACGAAUAUGUCUAAAAUAUAAUUUUUUUUGUUAUUGUAGUGUUCAUGAGUACGGAUAAUUACUAGUCUAUAAUAUAAAACACGAAUAUUUUUAAGUCUUCCAAAUUAUUUUUUACUAUCUACGGUUAGAAUCUAUUUUAGUUAAUCAGAUGGCUGAGAUUUUACUUGAGAUUAUUUUUUUUUUUAAAUGUCAAUUUUCUUAUUCUUAGAUGUGUGGAGUCCACACAGGUUGUGAUCUAAUGGCCAAAAACCCUCUAAAUGUAUGCAUAUUUUUUACCCAUUGAAUUAUUUUUUAUUGGUACUCAUAAAAAAAAAUAAAAAUACUCAUUUCUUUCUCCCUCAUUUUCUUAUCGGUCUCUAUUUUGUACCAAUAUAUCUCUUCAUAUAUACAUGUAAUAUAUAUCUUUCAUAUGAUGUUUAUAUCUUAUAUGUUUUUCAAGCUGUAAAACUCUAAAAUAUACGCCUAAGAGGUGAUUUUUUUUUUACGCAAAAAUACCCGUAAGUACGAACAAUACUAAGAUAGAUUAUAAACACAAGGAAAGGGGUGAUGAAAAAGGGAAGGUUCAUAAGACCCAAAUGAACAGUAUAUUUGGGGUUCUAUUUUUUUUUUUUAUGCCCUUUCUCCUUUUUACGAUUGUGUUGUUUUUACUAUGUUGAAAUAGUAAUAUUACUGUCAUUGUCAGAUAAUAAAUAGAAAAUGUGAAAUCUAAAAGUACCAAAACUUAUAAAAAAAUGUAUAAUCGUGCAUUUAAAAAUUUGUGCACAUCUCACUUUACAACCUUGCACUUUGCACUCAAUUUUAUUUUUGCAUCUUCAUUGCAAUUAAAAAAGGUUUGUCACACUUUUCGGUAAGUUCUUUAAUGUUCUUCUUCCUUCCAUACAGUUUUAGAAUGGUGAACGAAAAAGACACAAUUCUAAUGGGUUGAUUUCAUUUUUACUUCCUAAACUAUUAUAAUUUGUUUUAUUUAAUCCCUGAAGGGCCUAAACUACUAAACUAUUAAUUCGAUCUAGAAUGUCCCUAAAGUUUUAUAUUUAAGUCUAUAAAAUCCAAUUAAAGAUAUCCGUUUAAAUGAUAAAAUAUAAAAUAUGUCAUAUGCAUUCCAUGUGGCUAAGUAACUCUUUGUAAGUACAAAAUAGACUUUUCAUUUAAAAUCCACCAAACCCAAACCCAAAAUCAAAUCCACAAAACCAAACCCAAUCCUCUCUCCCCUCAAAUUCAAGCUCCGUUUGGCACCAAUUUUUUUCAAUUUUUUUCUUAAUGUUUGCUUAAUAAUAAGCAAAAAAAACCAAAUCAGAGUGAGCUUUUUUAUUUUGCUGUUUUGCUUUUUUUUUUCUAAUUUUAGCUAAAGUAAGCCACAAAAAACAAAAAAAAACAAAAAACUUAAUUUUUUAGUAGCAAGUUUAAAAAAAAAAAAAGCUUGGCUUUAAGCAUAUUAUCAACCGGAGUCAAUCCCCCACACAGCAAAAAUUCCAAGACUCUCUCUUUCACUAAUUCCAACCUCACUUUUCGUCUCUCUAACCUACUCUUCUUUUUUCUCCCUCCUGCCCACGCUACACAAUGCAAACUUACACCUACCUGAGUUCACAUUAAUGCAAGGAUAUUACUAUUUAUUAAUGC
rnacentral:lncRNA from 1 species